AGGGACAAUCGACCGUCUAGGUGAUGGAGGCAAAAGGCAAUAACAGGUCUGUGAUGCCCUUAGAUGUUCCGGGCUGCACGCGCGCUACACUGACAGAGACAACGAGUGGGGCCCCAUGUCCGAAAUGACUGGGUAAACUUGUGAAACUUUGUCGUGCUGGGGAUGGAGCUUUGUAAUUUUUGCUCUUCAACGAGGAAUUCCUAGUAAGCGCAAGUCAUCAGCUUGCGUUGACUACGUCCCUGCCCUUUGUACACACCGCCCGUCGCUACUACCGAUUGAAUGGAAGGGCGACACGCGAUUGCAGUCAA
rnacentral:rRNA from 1 species